rfam:Glossina morsitans morsitans, isolate Yale, WGS project CCAG01000000 data, contig: ctg10003831
UAUCGUAUGGUCUAGCGGUUAGGGUGUCCGUCUCACAGUCGGAAGACCCAGGUUCGACUCCUGGUGCGGUAG